UACGGAGGGAGCUAGCGUUGUUCGGAAUUACUGGGCGUAAAGCGCACGUAGGCGGCUUUGUAAGUUAGAGGUGAAAGCCUGGGCUCAACUCCAGAACUGCCUUUAAAACUGCAUCGCUUGAAUCCAGGAGAGGUGAGUGGAAUUCCGAGUGUAGAGGUGAAAUUCGUAGAUAUUCGGAAGAACACCAGUGGCGAAGGCGGCUCACUGGACUGGUAUUGACGCUGAGGUGCGAAAGCGUGGGGAGCAAACAGG
rnacentral:rRNA from 1 species